ensembl:snRNA U6 U6 spliceosomal RNA
GUGCUUGCUUCAGCAGCCUGUAUACUAAAAUUGAAACAAUACAGAGAUUAUCAUGGCCCCUGCUCAAGGAAGACAUGCAAAUUCAUGAAGCAUUGGGUAUUUUU